ACAGUCAGUAUACAUUCUGACUUGAGACAGUGAACAUGUUUCUUUUGUGAGUGUAUACUUUGACAAGAGAAUUGAAAUUAUUCUUAUAAGACAACAUUUUAUCCAAGGCUUUAGUAGUCCUCAUCAGUUAAAAAUGGAGAAGUAUCAUUUCCUUCGAACACUGCCACGGGAAAAUAUGCCACUGCGGACCUGGCAAACCAUUGGUGAUGUGACGUCCUCUCGUUUUCUGCUGACUGAUGACGAUUAUAAUCGUUUAUAUAUAUUGCGCUGAAGAUGACUCAAAAUAAGUCGAAACAUUCGUGGUAAUUGUAAUUCGUUAUGAAAUAAACACAUUAAAAUUG